rnacentral:rRNA from 1 species
UGCUCUUCUUGGAUGAGUUGCGAACGGGUGAGUAACGCGUAGGUAACCUGCCUUGUAGCGGGGGAUAACUAUUGGAAACGAUAGCUAAUACCGCAUAACAAUGGAUGACACAUGUCAUUUAUUUGAAAGGGGCAAUUGCUCCACUACAAGAUGGACCUGCGUUGUAUUAGCUAGUAGGUGAGGUAACGGCUCACCUAGGCGACGAUACAUAGCCGACCUGAGAGGGUGAUCGGCCACACUGGGACUGAGACACGGCCCAGACUCCUACGGGAGGCAGCAGUAGGGAAUCUUCGGCAAUGGGGGCAACCCUGACCGAGCAACGCCGCGUGAGUGAAGAAGGUUUUCGGAUCGUAAAGCUCUGUUGUAAGUCAAGAACGAGUGUGAGAGUGGAAAGUUCACACUGUGACGGUAGCUUACCAGAAAGGGACGGCUAACUACGUGCCAGCAGCCGCGGUAAUACGUAGGUCCCGAGCGUUGUCCGGAUUUAUUGGGCGUAAAGCGAGCGCAGGCGGUUUGAUAAGUCUGAAGUUAAAGGCUGUGGCUCAACCAUAGUUCGCUUUGGAAACUGUCAAACUUGAGUGCAGAAGGGGAGAGUGGAAUUCCAUGUGUAGCGGUGAAAUGCGUAGAUAUAUGGAGGAACACCGGUGGCGAAAGCGGCUCUCUGGUCUGUAACUGACGCUGAGGCUCGAAAGCGUGGGGAGCGAACAGGAUUAGAUACCCUGGUAGUCCACGCCGUAAACGAUGAGUGCUAGGUGUUGGAUCCUUUCCGGGAUUCAGUGCCGCAGCUAACGCAUUAAGCACUCCGCCUGGGGAGUACGACCGCAAGGUUGAAACUCAAAGGAAUUGACGGGGGCCCGCACAAGCGGUGGAGCAUGUGGUUUAAUUCGAAGCAACGCGAAGAACCUUACCAGGUCUUGACAUCCCGAUGCUAUUUCUAGAGAUAGAAAGUUACUUCGGUACAUCGGUGACAGGUGGUGCAUGGUUGUCGUCAGCUCGUGUCGUGAGAUGUUGGGUUAAGUCCCGCAACGAGCGCAACCCCUAUUGUUAGUUGCCAUCAUUCAGUUGGGCACUCUAGCGAGACUGCCGGUAAUAAACCGGAGGAAGGUGGGGAUGACGUCAAAUCAUCAUGCCCCUUAUGACCUGGGCUACACACGUGCUACAAUGGUUGGUACAACGAGUUGCGAGUCGGUGACGGCAAGCUAAUCUCUUAAAGCCAAUCUCAGUUCGGAUUGUAGGCUGCAACUCGCCUACAUGAAGUCGGAAUCGCUAGUAAUCGCGGAUCAGCACGCCGCGGUGAAUACGUUCCCGGGCCUUGUACACACCGCNNNUCACACCACGAGAGUUUGUAACACCCGAAGUC